AGAAAGGCGUUGAGAAGAGAUAGUAAGCGUGUCCGAAUGUUCCAGAGAGAAGCCGGGUGGUGCGAGGCUUUAUUUAGGGGCGCUGAACCGGUCUUUGAGCUGCGGGCUGAAAGGUGACGAGUAGGUUUUGACGGGUAUCCUCCGUUAUGGGGAUGGAGUAUCGGAUGGCCAUGAUUUAUGAGGAUCGGCGUCCCGUACUUGUGGAGUGCAGAAUGAAGAUUCUGAAAUCAGGUGGUAACACGGAUAUUUGUUUAUUCGCCCUGAAC
rnacentral:ncRNA from 1 species